AAAGGAGUCAAGAAAAGGAAAGAGAGACAAAGAAAAGAUACAAAGUCUGUCUGUCUGAUCUGCCUGCUUCCCUGUUUGUCUCCAUGUCUUUCUGUCUAUCCGUCUUCUUUCU
rnacentral:ribozyme from 11 species